ensembl:snoRNA
AGCAAGUGAUGACUUUUCUCACGAUGGUCUGUGGAUGCCACUGUGCGCAGUACCAAUGAUGCCAAAGGCUCAGCAGAUACCAGGAA